GAUCCUGGCUAAGGAUGAACGCUAGCUACAGGCUUAACACAUGCAAGUCGAGGGGCAGCAUGGUCUUAGUUUGCUAAGGCCGAUGGCGACCGGCGCACGGGUGAGUAACACGUAUCCAACCUGCCGUCUACUCUUGGACAGCCUUCUGAAAGGAAGAUUAAUACAAGAUGGCAUCAUGAGUCCACAUGUUCACAUGAUUAAAGGUAUUCCGGUAGACGAUGGGGAUGCG
rnacentral:rRNA from 1 species